UUCUUGAAGCUUGAAGUAGGAGUUAAUGGAAACACUCAAAAAUCUUUCACUCGAGGAAUUUUUGAACACAUCAUUGAAAUCCUUCACUUUAUAUGAAUCUAAUGUUCCUCAUUGUUAUGAUGUGAUAUGCUUAUAAUUUGUAGGAGAGACAUUGAUUCUUUGAGUUGAAAUAUUAAAUAAAUUAUGAAAUGUAUGGGAUAAAAAAUAAAAGUAAUUUAUCUACAAUAUUUUGGAAAUUAAUAACUAUCGGGAAUAAUGUGACGAAGAAAGCAAAUCCAUAAUAAACUAAUGAAAGGGGUAAUGUUACUGAAAUGAUGGAAUCUACUC
rnacentral:lncRNA from 1 species